GGAGGUAGUGACAAUAAAUCACAAUGCGGAACAAUGUUUUGCAAUUGGAUUGAGAACAACGUACAAACCUUAUCGAUAAACAAUUGGAGGGCAAGUCUGGUGCCAGCAGCCGCGGUAAUUCCAGCUCCAAUAGCGUAUAUUAACGUUGUUGCAGUUAAAAAGCUCGUAGUUGAAAUGAAGGGUAGUUGUGUAAUGAAUACAUUCGUGUAUUUUGUUAUUCUACUACCCUCCUUCUAAAUUCGAUAUAUGAGUAUUAAUUUACUUGUAUAUGGUUUUAGACUUUUACUGUGAGAAAAUUAGAGUGUUCAAAGCAGGCAUUUGCUUGAAUAUAUUAGCAUGGAAUAAUCAUGUAUGAUUUUCAUGAUGUAUUUGAUUGGUUUGGUUCAUGAGAAUAAGAUUAAAAGGGACAGUUGGGGGUAUUCAUAUUCAAUAGUCAGAGGUGAAAUUCUCGGAUUUAUGGAAGAUGAACAAGUGCGAAAGCA
rnacentral:rRNA from 1 species